CCUACGGGUGGCAGCAGUGAGGAAUAUUGGUCAAUGGACGCAAGUCUGAACCAGCCAUGCCGCGUGCAGGAUGACGGCUCUAUGAGUUGUAAACUGCUUUUGCACGAGGGUAAACCCCGCCACGUGUAUCGGGCUGCAAGUAUCGUACGAAUAAGGACCGGCUAAUUCCGUGCCAGCAGCCGCGGUAAUACGGAGGGUCCGAGCGUUAUCCGGAUUUAUUGGGCUUAAAGGGUGCGUAGGCGGUUUGAUAAGUUAGCGGUGAAAUGUCGGGGCUCAACCCCGGAACUGCCUCUAAUACUGUAGGACUAGAGAAUAGUUGCGGUAGGCGGAAUGUAUGGUGUAGCGGUGAAAUGCUUAGAGAUCAUACAGAACCCCGAUUGCGAAGGCAGCUUACCAAGCUAUAUCUGACGUUGAGGCACGAAGGCGUGGGUAGCAAACAGGAUUAGAUACCCCAGUAGUC
rnacentral:rRNA from 1 species